UACGGAGGGGGCUAGCGUUGUUCGGAAUUACUGGGCGUAAAGCGUACGUAGGCGGCUUGGCAAGUUAGAGGUGAAAGCCCGGAGCUCAACUCCGGAAUAGCCUUUGAGACUGCCUCGCUUGAACGUCGGAGAGGUGAGUGGAAUUCCGAGUGUAGAGGUGAAAUUCGUAGAUAUUCGGAAGAACACCAGUGGCGAAGGCGGCUCACUGGACUGGUAUUGACGCUGAGGUGCGAAAGCGUGGGGAGCAAACAGG
rnacentral:rRNA from 1 species